rnacentral:rRNA from 1 species
GACGAACGCUGGCGGCGUGCUUAACACAUGCAAGUCGAACGGAAAGGCCCUGCUUUUGUGGGGUGCUCGAGUGGCGAACGGGUGAGUAACACGUGAGUAACCUGCCCUUGACUUUGGGAUAACUUCAGGAAACUGGGGCUAAAACCGGAUAGGAGCUCCUGCUGCAUGGUGGGGGUUGGAAAGUUUCGGCGGUUGGGGAUGGACUCGCGGCUUAUCAGCUUGUUGGUGGGGUAGUGGCUUACCAAGGCUUUGACGGGUAGCCGGCCUGAGAGGGUUACCGGCCACAUUGGGACUGAGAUACGGCCCAGACUCCUACGGGAGGCAGCAGUGGGGAAUAUUGCACAAUGGGCGGAAGCCUGAUGCAGCAACGCCGCGUGCGGGAUGACGGCCUUCGGGUUGUAAACCGCUUUCGCCUGUGACGAAGCGUGAGUGACGGUAAUGGGUAAAGAAGCACCGGCUAACUACGUG